rnacentral:rRNA from 1 species
UGAGUAAUACAUCGGAACGUGUCUUCUAGUGGGGGAUAACUGCCCGAAAGGGCAGCUAAUACCGCAUGAGACCUGAGGGUGAAAGCGGGGGAUCGCAAGACCUCGCGCUGGAAGAGCGGCCGAUGUCCGAUUAGCUAGUUGGUGAGGUAAAGGCUCACCAAGGCGACGAUCGGUAGCUGGUCUGAGAGGACGACCAGCCACACUGGGACUGAGACACGGCCCGG